AAAAAAAAAAAUUGAAGGUUGGUAACAAUUACAAUAAUUCAUUUGUUUAUCUCUUAAUCAAAUUUGCAGCCCGUCGUCCUUACAAGAGUGGGGACUGCGAACAAAAAAUCCCAAUAAAAAAAAAGAUCCCCAUAAUCCCCUACAUGGGGGUCAAUGUUUCCAUCUUGGUCCAAAUGUAACCAAAGUUUAAGGUUAAAUAGUUCACGUUGUACAUGUGCUUCUUGGAUGUUGUCACCAAGUCUUACCUGCUGAAGUCCACUUCAAUGCCUGCCAUGUGAUCCUUGUUGGCGAUUUACGUACGAUAUUUAUGGAUUUAAUAAGAAAACCUUUGGCAAAUAUUUAUUUUCUCAAAUUUAAUAAAUAUUCUUGUUAUCUAUGAUUAUGUUUCAAUGU